GGCCUAGUGGUGUAAUGGAAACAUACCUGUUUUGUGUACCCAAGUCUGCCAGUGAUUGUGGCAGGAGAUCCUUGUUCGAUUCAAGGCUGGGCCA